UUCUGUCCUUGAAUAGCUCAU
rnacentral:piRNA from 1 species